rnacentral:rRNA from 1 species
AUUGAACGCUGGCGGCAGGCCUAACACAUGCAAGUCGAGCGAGCGGCGGACGGGUGUGUAAUGUUUGGGGACUGCCCGUUAGAGGGGGAUAACUCCUGGAAACGGUAUCUAAUACCGCCCACUAUCGCAUAAUCCAUAUGGGAUUAGCUAGUAGGUGAGGUAAUGGCUCACCUAGGCGACGAUCACUAGCUGGUCUGAGAGGAUGAUCAGCCACACUGGGACUGAGACACGGCCCAGACUCCUACGGAGGCAGCAGUGGGGAAUAUUGCACAAUGGGCGCAAGCCUGAUGCAGCCAUGCCGCGUGUAUGAAGAAGGCCCUAGGGUUGUAAAGUACUUUCAGUCGGGAGGCGUUACCGACAGAAGAAGCACCGGCUAACUCCGUGCCAGCAGCCGCGGUAAUUC